AGUAUCAUCAUCAGCUGGGUUGGAACAAUCUGUUCCAGUUACAUCUGAAGCUCAACCUCCAAUACUGCCAUUGCCUUCCUCUGCAAGGCCUACUCAGAAGGUUUUUAACUAACAUAAAUUGCCAAAUCCUCCAACGAUUUUAGUACCUCUCUUAUUGAUAUAACAAAGAACCUUGAAUUCUAGAUUAAGAGUUUUUGAGGACUAGUGAAAUGAUCUUGCAUUUGCUGAUGUCUAAAUUAGUCGUUUUAGUCUUCCAUGCUAUGCCUCUUUUUUUUGUCAAAGAUGCAUGAAAAUCUCUCUGGGUUUCUUAGUGUAUAAGAGUUUUUCUUUGCAUGUCUGCCUAUAACUCUUCAUGGUGAUAAUAAAUUGAAUUCAUUUACUGAUUUUUUUUCUCAGCCAAACGGGCAUUCUUUCCCAAAUCAUAAUGGUUACAGGGGACGUGGAAGAGGAAGAGGAAGAGGAGCAGGGGUACUAUUCUUCUCACUCAUUUGUAGAAUGUGACGAGGCAUUUAUUUGUUUAUACCAAGGAAAAGAUCUACUAGUUUAAAAAUAGCUCAUGAACUAAGCCAUGAAUGCUAAUAAUUCUUCUUGUUGGCAGAGAUCACACCAGGUAAUGAAGUUCACUGAAGAUUUUGAUUUCACAGCAAUGAACGAAAAGUUCAAUAAGGAUGAAGUAUGGGGUCAUCUUGGGAAGAGUACCACAUUAGAUGGUGAUGAAGAUGAUGAUUCCCCGAUUGUAGAUGAGGCUGAGCUUCCUAAGAUCGAGGUCAAAGUAAGUGAAGUAGACUUAUAAUCAUGUAAAGCCACCACCAUAUUCUCCCUCUCUGGUCUCAUACACAUUGUUUAUUGAUGUAGCCUGUUUACAACAAAGAUGACUUUUUCGAUAGCCUCUCAUCAAACACCAUUGACCGAGAGUCCCAAAAUGCAAGGCCUAGGUUCUCAGAGCAACGGAAACUAGAUACUGAGGUAAUAUAUAUAUAUUUCCACUCUCUGAAUAGCAGACUGUGCUUAUAUUGUCCCCUCUCGUUACUGGAGAUGCUCAAUUUCCUAGAAUCUUAAGAGAAACCUGUUGAC
rnacentral:lncRNA from 1 species